rnacentral:rRNA from 1 species
UACGGAAGGCAGCAGUGGGGAAUAUUGCACAAUGGGCGCAAGCCUGAUGCAGCGACGCCGCGUGAGGGAUGACGGCCUUCGGGUUGUAAACCUCUUUCAGUAUGGAACAAGGAUCCUUCUUUUGGGGGUUUGAGGGUACGUGCAGAAGAAGCGCCGGCUAACUACGUGCCAGCAGCCGCGGUAAUACGUAGGGCGCGAGCGUUGUCCGGAUUUAUUGGGCGUAAAGAGCUCGUAGGCGGUUUGUCGCGUCUGCCGUGAAAUUUCCUGGCUUAACUGGGAGCGUGCGGUGGUACGGGCAGACUGGAGUGCGGUAGGGGAGACUGGAAUUCCUGGUGUAGCGGUGGAAUGCGCAGAUAUCAGGAGGAACACCGGUGGCGAAGGCGGGUCUCUGGGCCGUUCUGACGCUGAGGAGCGAAAGCAUGGGGAGCGAACAGGGAUUAGAUA